AUACGAGGGGUGCAAGCGUUAUUCGGAAUCAUUGGGCGUAAAGGGUGCGUAGACGGCGCAUUAAGUCAGUUGUUAAAUUUCCAGGCCUAACCUGGAGUCAGCGAUUGAUACUGUUGUGCUAGAGGGUGGAAGAGAGAAGUGGAAUUCUCGGAGUAGCGGUAAAAUGCGUAGAUCUCGAGAGGAACACCAAUUGCGAAGGCAGCUUCUUGGUCCGACCCUGACACUCAAGCGCGAAAGCGUGGGGAGCAAACAGGAUUAGAAACCCCAGUAGUCC
rnacentral:rRNA from 1 species